CGGCGUGCUUACACAUGCAGUCGAACGAUGAACCUCCUUCGGGAGGGGAUUAGUGGCGAACGGGUGAGUAACACGUGGGCAAUCUGCCCUGCACUCUGGGACAAGCCCUGGAAACGGGGUCUAAUACCGGAUACUGACCCGCUUGGGCAUCCAAGCGGUUCGAAAGCUCCGGCGGUGCAGGAUGAGCCCGCGGCCUAUCAGCUUGUUGGUGAGGUAAUGGCUCACCAAGGCGACGACGGGUAGCCGGCCUGAGAGGGCGACCGGCCACACUGGGACUGAGACACGGCCCAGACUCCUACGGGAGGCAGCAGUGGGGAAUAUUGCACAAUGGGCGAAAGCCUGAUGCAGCGACGCCGCGUGAGGGAUGACGGCCUUCGGGUUGUAAACCUCUUUCAGCAGGGAAGAAGCGAAAGUGACGGUACCUGCAGAAGAAGCGCCGGCUAACUACGUGCCAGCAGCCGCGGUAAUACGUAGGGCGCGAGCGUUGUCCGGAAUUAUUGGGCGUAAAGAGCUCGUAGGCGGCUUGUCACGUCGGUUGUGAAAGCCCGGGGCUUAACCCCGGGUCUGCAGUCGAUACGGGCAGGCUAGAGUUCGGUAGGGGAGAUCGGAAUUCCUGGUGUAGCGGUGAAAUGCGCAGAUAUCAGGAGGAACACCGGUGGCGAAGGCGGAUCUCUGGGCCGAUACUGACGCUGAGGAGCGAAAGCGUGGGGAGCGAACAGGAUUAGAUACCCUGGUAGUCCACGCCGUAAACGGUGGGCACUAGGUGUGGGCGACAUUCCACGUCGUCCGUGCCGCAGCU
rnacentral:rRNA from 1 species